rnacentral:rRNA from 1 species
AAAGGAAUUGACGGGGGCCCGCACAAGCGGAGGAACAUGUGGUUUAAUUCGAUGAUACGCGAGGAACCUUACCCGGGCUUGAAUUGCUGAGGAAAGAUCCAGAGAUGGUGAUGCCCUUCGGGGCCUCAGUGAAGGUGCUGCAUGGUUGUCGUCAGCUCGUGCCGUGAGGUGUCGGCUUAAGUGCCAUAACGAGCGCAACCCCUCUCUUCAGUUGCCAUCAGGUUAAGCUGGGCACUCUGGAGACACUGCCACCGUAAGGUGUGAGGAAGGUGGGGAUGACGUCAAAUCAGCACGGCCCUUACGUCCGGGGCUACACACGUGUUACAAUGGCCGGUACAGAGAGUUGGACACCCGCAAGGUUGUUCUAAUCACUAAAUCCGGUCUCAGUUCGGACUGGGGUCUGCAACCCGACCCCACGAAGCUGGAUUCGCUAGUAAUCGCGCAUCAGCCAUGGCGCGGUGAAUACGUUCCCGGGCCUUGUACACACCGCCCGU